rnacentral:rRNA from 1 species
CCGACCGGCGCACGGUGAGUAACGCGUAUGCAACUUACCUAUCAGGAGGGGAUAACCCGGCGAAAGUCGGACUAAUACCGCAUGAAGCGAGGGCCCCGCAUGGGGAUAUUUGCUAAAGAUUCAUCGCUGAUAGAUAGGCAUGCGUUCCAUUAGGCAGUUGGCGGGGUAACGGCCCACCAAACCGACGAUGGAUAGGGGUUCUGAGAGGAAGGUCCCCCACAUUGGUACUGAGACACGGACCAA